CCUACGGGGGGCAGCAGUGAGGAAUAUUGGUCAAUGGCCGGAAGGCUGAACCAGCCAUGCCGCGUGAAGGUCAGUGCCCUAUGGGCGUUAAACUUCUUUUGUGCGGGAGCAAUAAUGGUCACGUGUGGCCAGACGAGAGUACCGUACGAAUAAGCAUCGGCUAACUCCGUGCCAGCAGCCGCGGUAAUACGGGGGAUGCAAGCGUUAUCCGGAUUUAUUGGGGUUAAAGGGUGCGUAGGCUGUGAGGUAAGGCAGCGGUGAAAUGCCUGCGCUCAACGGGGUGAAGUGCCAUUGAUACUGGCAGGCUGGAGUGCGGAUGCCGUGGGAGGAAUGUGUGGUGUAGCGGUGAAAUGCAUAGAUAUCACACAGAACACCGAUUGCGAAGGCAUCUCACGAAUCCGCGAUUGACGCUGAGGCACGAAAGCGUGGGUAUCAAACAGGAUUAGAUACCCGAGUAGUC
rnacentral:rRNA from 1 species